rnacentral:rRNA from 1 species
AGAGUUUGAUCAUGGCUCAGAAUGAACGCUGGCGGCGUGCCUAACACAUGCAAGUCGAACGAGAAAGCCAGCAAUGGUGAGUACAGUGGCGCGCGGGUGAGUAAUACAUAGGAAUCUGCCUCUGAGUGGAGAAUACCCUAGAGAAAUUUAGGUUAAUACUGCAUAAGCCUAGAAAUGGGGAAAGGUGGCCUCAAGCUGCCGCUGAGAGAUGAGCCUAUGGCCUAUUAGCUAGUUGGUGGGGUAAAAGCCUACCAAGGCGAAGAUGGGUAACCGGCCUGAGAGGGUGUACGGUCACACUGGAACUGAGACACGGUCCAGACUCCUACGGGAGGCAGCAGUGGGGAAUCUUGCACAAUGGGCGAAAGCCUGAUGCAGCGACGCCGCGUGGAGGAUGACGGUCUUCGGAUUGUAAACUCCUGUUAAGUGGGAAGAAAGACUCAUACCUAGUACGUAUGGGGGAUGACGGUACCACUAGAGAAAGCACCGGCAAACUUCGUGCCAGCAGCCGCGGUAAUACGAAGGGUGCUAGCGUUAUUCGGAAUAACUGGGCGUAAAGAGCGUGUCGGCGGUUUGUUAAGUCAACUGUAAAAGAACUCGGCUUAACCGAGUAAAUGCGGGUGAAACUGGCAGACUAGAGUACGGGAGAGAAAGGUAGAAUUCUCGGAGUAGCGGUAAAAUGCGUAGAUCUCGAGAGGAAUACCGGUUGCGAAGGCGGCCUUUUGGCCCGUAACUGACGCUUAAGCGCGAAAGCGUGGGGAGCAAACAGGAUUAGAUACCCUGGUAGUCCACGCCGUAAACGAUGAUCACUAGAUGUGGGUCGUGCAUAG